rnacentral:lncRNA from 1 species
CUGCCCCUCACGAAAGUACCCGCCCGGCCGGAAGUGCGNNNNNNNNNNNNNNNNNNNNGGAGGGCGACGUGCCCCGAGGGGACACGCACGGCGCAAAAGCCACCCUCAGGCUGGCCCUUCGCCGCCCUCACGGCGUCCGUCGUGCUCCACCGACCCAGCCCGGACCGGGACUUGGGAAGGGGCCUGCGGAGAGCAAAGCGGUGUGGAGACGGUGUGGUAAGUUUUGGAUGGAUUUCACUUACAGCCACUGCUUCAGUGAAUACCUCGGAGAGGUCCAAAAUGCAGAUCUUCAGGAUGAUGUUUCCACUUGCAGUGUCCUUGAGAGGAGAUGAGUAAAAGCAAUCCGGUGAGCCUUGAAGAAAGCUUGGGCACUGCCCCUGUCAAUGUGGUUGCUGCUGACGAGGCAGGAGCACUUGAUGCUGCACCCAGCAGGCCUGGCUGUCCAGGGUGAGGGAUUCAUCAUUCCUGAGCGAUUCCUACAGACCUGCCAAUCCAUGUGCACCACCAGAUGGACAUCAGCGCAGACAGGAGAGCUUGCCUUCAGGUGCCUCCUUAGAGCUUGUCAGCGCUGGGGCCACGUGGAGCUCAGAAGUGUGAGACUGCCCCGAGGGAGAACAAGUGGAAGGAAGCGCCAGACAGUAAAUAUUGGGGCGCAUUUCUGCCAGGCUGUGGAGAUGCACAUACAACCCUGGCACGGCCACAUCAAGUUCCUUUCUGCUGCGCUGGCUGGGAAGCUGUCCGACAGAGCCACAGGUGCUCAGGCAGCAGGUCAGUGGCUUCCUGGAGAUGUGCAGGGCACUAAGUCCUUCACACAGGUAAAGGAGACGUUUUCCCUUGGGCUCUGAGCUUCCACCCUCAGCUGUGGCAGUGUGCCGUGGGCAGCUGCUGUGGACAGCAGGGCUUUGUCAGCCCUGUUUGUACUUCUGUCUGUGACACUGCCACUGCCAGGACAAACCCGUGACCGAGGCAGGAGCUGGCACACACAGACUUCCCACUUGCUCCCCAUUUCCUGUGUGGGUGCCCACUGCUCCUUAUCCCCUGGAGGAACAGAUUGCUCUGGAUAUCUUCAAUUUUUUCCUGAGAACCUUUGAUCCUCCAGGAGGAAGGUUUUGCCUAGCUCAUAACUGUUGCCCAGUGGGGCCUGGCUUCCCACGUUUCCCUGAUGCCAGGUGCCCUGCCUGCCCCUCUUUCCUGGUGCCCACUGCAGAAGGCUCCUUGCGGGCGGCCCUGGCACGCUGCCCUCCCUGUGAAGCUGGGGAAGCUGGCACAGCCCAGGACUGUGAUGAGGGAAACUCUGACCUGUCAGUUUGGUCUGUGACUGCCGGGACAUUUGGGUUUUCCGCCAGCCUUUUUUUAUUUUGGUUUGGGUUUGUCUGUUUGCUUGUAUGUCUAGGUUUGUUAGUGCUAGCUUGGUGAUUGCUUUGGUUCCUGUUGCAGUUUCUGCAGUGCAGGUCCCUACGGGAUCCCCAUUCCGGGAGUUUAGGGGAGGAGGUCCAUCCCUGUGUCCCCAGACGUGCUGUGGUCAAGCUCCCUCACCCCUGGGGCCUGAUGGUGAGGCUUUGCCUGGGGUAAUUCUUGUCCCCACAAGAUGGAACCACACCGGGUGUGAUAAUUCUUGCUCUCAGCACCCAGUGACUGUCUCAGGGGGACACUUGUUCCGGAGGCUCUUUCCAAGGCUUGUGCCCGGCUGAUGUUUCAUUCCCGGGGCAGCAGGGAAGAGCAGUGAUGCCUCUCAUAUGGAAAGGCGAGUGAAUGGCAGAACCGCACCGAUUUCAGCCGAGCCGAGCCCGGCCGAACCCGGCCUGCUGCUCUCUGGCCCAUUAAUUAGUGCGACUGCAGUCACAG